AGCAUAAUCAUUUGUCUUUUAAUUGGAGGCUGGCAUGAAGGAGGCGACGAAAUCUAGCCUGUUGGCGUGGAGUAUAAAAUUAACUUGGGGGUCAAAAGGCCCACAUGCCCCAAAGGGACGAUAAGACCCUAUAAAACUUAACUGUGGGGAGAAGCCUGAUGUGUGACCUCUAAGCCCACGGUUUAACUGGGGCGGUUUAUAUAAAAACAAUUAAAAUAUAAAUAUUUUAUAUAGAACCCGAGAGCUUUUAUAGGAAAUGAACAAGUUACUUUAGGGAUAACAGCAUAAUUCUCCCGGAGAGUUCUAAUCGGCGGGAGAGCUUAUGACCUCGAUGUUGAAUUGGGGUGUCUGGUGUAAGUAGAAAUAUAUUAAGAUAGUCUGUUCGACUAUUAAAUCCCC
rnacentral:rRNA from 1 species